rnacentral:tRNA from 1 species
GGGGGUAUAGCUCAGUGGUUAGAGCACCCGCAUACGUAUCGGAAGGUGGGGGGUUCGACUCCCUCUGCCUCCA